rnacentral:rRNA from 1 species
AUUGAACGCUGGCGGCAGGCCUAACACAUGCAAGUCGAGCGAGCGGCGGACGGGUGAGUAAUGUCUGGGAAACUGCCUGAUGGAGGGGGAUAACUACUGGAAACGGUAGCUACUACCGCAUACCAUCAGAUGUGCCCAGAUGGGAUUAGAUAGUAGGUGGGGUAACGGCGCACCUAGGCGACGCUCCAUAUCUGGUCUGUGAGGAUGACCAGCCACACUGGAACUGAGACACGGUCCAGACUCCUACGGGAGGCAGCAGUGGGGAAUAUUGCACAAUGGGCGCAAGCCGGAUGAAGCCAUGCCGCGUGUGUGAAGAAGGCCGUCGGGUUGUAAAGCACUUUCAGCGGGGAUGCGUUACCCGCAGAAGAAGCACCGGCUAACUCCGUGCCAGCAGCCGCGGUAAUAC